AGAAAACGCAGUAGAGGUGAUGAACAAGGCCCGAUUCGAAGCCCGAACAUAAUCGUCGCCCUAUCUAUGAGGCAAUCGGCUCAGCGGGAUUACUGAGGGUUGAGUAAGAUGUCAAGUGCAGAGGAAAGAGCAGCCGACCCAAGCACGGAAGUUCUUCAGGAAGUGACUGAUAGGGGGGGAAAAAAAAACGUCACAUCAGAAUGAAUGUAUCGGUUUUGUGUUUACCCACCUUCAUGGCUGACUGCACUUCCUUGGCCUGUCCUCCGGGCUACCAAUUAAAGUCUAAUUCCCUUUUA
rnacentral:lncRNA from 1 species